rnacentral:lncRNA from 1 species
AUUUUUUUUUCUGUAUUUUUCGGGAUUUUUUUGGGAUUUUAUUUCGAUUUUUUAAGAUUUAUUUGGAAUUCUUGGGGGAUUUUUUGGAAAUUUUUGGGAGAUUUUUUCUGGGUUUUUUUCGGAUUUUUUUGAGAUUUUUAUUCGGUGUUUUUGGGAUUUUUUCCGUAUUUUUGGGGGAAUUUUUUGAGAUUUUAUUUCGAUUUUUUUAGAUUUUUUUGGGGGGGUUUAUUUCGAUUUUUGGGGAUUUUUAAAGGGUUUUAUUUCGAGUUUUGGAGGGAUUUUUAAAUGUGUUUUUUUGAGAUUUUUAUUCUGUGUUUUUGGGAUUUUUUUUCUGUAUUUUUCGGGAUUUUUUUCGGGAUUUUUUGAGAUUUUAUUUCGAUUUUUGGGGGAUUUUUAAAGGGUUUUAUUUCGAUUUUUGGGGGAUUUUUAAAGGGUAUUUUUUGAGGUUUUUAUUCUGUGUUUUUGGGAUUUUUUUUCGGGAUUUUUUUGAGAUUUUAUUUCGAUUUUUUUUUAGAUGUAUUUGGGAUUUUUGGGGGGAUUUUUUUGAAAUUUUUGGGAGAUUUUUUUCUGGGUUUUUUUCGGAUUUUUUUGAGAUUUUUUUUCUGUAUUUUCCCGAAUUUUUAGGAUUUUUGGGAAGUUUUUCGGAUUUUUGGGGAAAAAUUUUAGGAUUUUUUUUUAAUUUAUUUUUGGGGGAUUUUUGGAUAUUUUUUUUCCUGGGAUUUUUUGGGGAUUUUGGGGAAUUUUCGGGAGAAUUUUGUGGAAAUUUUUAGGGAUUUUCGGCGCCAAAAACACACCACUCAAUGAAUGCAUUAAUUAAUUAAUUAAUUAAUUAAAUCUUUAUUAAUUUUGGGGGUCCCGGGUCCUUCCCCUCCCCCCCCAAUAAACGCUGCUGCCCCUCCCCCCCCGCGUGGCUU